GAAAGAAUUACACAGAACACCCCACCCUCCCUCUACUGACAAACAGCUUUUGUGCAGUGGUUGGAUAGUUCUCCCUAUAUACUGGAGACCACAGUUACAGUCUAUGAGAUAAAUGACAUAUGACGACUGACAGCAUUUGCACUGUUUCAAUCCACAUUUGAAGAUUCCUAGAGAAUGGAACAGUGACACACAUGCCUGACCACCACUCCAUGCAAACUUUAUUGCUGCGGUCAUCCGGCAGGAAAAAAAAUCAAUCAGGUCUACAAGGACCUACUUUUGCAAUACCAUAUUGUCCAGUAACAUACUUAUAAAUCUGAGUCCAUGCACAUUAUAGAAAUUUGAAGCAGAAAAAAUCUCCUUGGCAUCCCAUGGCUUUCAAUGGGAAUCCUCUGUACAGUGCACACUACAGAAUUUAAGCAGCUAAGGAACCUUUCCUCUACUGAAAUUCACCUAUCAAAGAAUAAACAUUUUCAUUCUUUUGGCAGCAUACAGAGCGGAAUGGGGAUUAGCAAUGUCUACCUGGUUAUAGAACCAACUAAAUUCAGUUGAUGGUGUUUGGCAGAUGCUAACUGUGCCUGGGACCCUAACUGUGCCUUCUAUCUAAAGUAUUUGUUUGCUGUCCUUAAAAAGGAUCUCUAAGCAGCUCUGUACAUUCUUAUUGUGAUUUGACGGUAGGAACAAUUGCACUGUUCUUCGACUAACAAAAUGUUAUUAUGCAUCUCUCACAUAUUAAUGCUGAUUUUCAUGCAUUAGGUUUAAACACAAAUUACAAGCCUUGAAAUUUAGAAUUAAAGCAGAAAAGUAACAAAAGUGAUCACCGCUAGAGAAGGGAGUCUGAAAAGUAAAGCAAUCAGCCAAGUGCACUCGGUCAUCACAAGAGACAUACCCCCACCCUAUCCAUAGAUUAUUCCCGCUAUAAUCUAUGGUGUCAGUAACAGGGAUUACAUUUGCUCAAACCAGUCUGAAUACCUUUCUGAGAAAAGGUUGCGGCUGAGUAGCUGGGAGUGUCCUCUUGGUGCGUAAGGGGAGAAUGGUCGAACAUCCUGUAGGAUCCUAUAAGAAGAGGUGCUAUCCUUUCAGAAAUAGUCUACAGAAUAAUGUUGCUAAGGUGUUACCUAAUACAUUAGUAGGGUUCUUCAGAUUGUGUUAUGCAUUGUUUUCAUAACUGUACGUGAAUUUACAAGUCAUAUCUAUAUGUAUAUAUACUAGUUUGCAACACAAGCAACAAAACUGUCUACAUUAUAAGCAGAUUUUAACAAAGUAAAUGCACAUUACACUGUGCCAUGCAGUAACCGUGGACAUUGUGAGGAAUUAUAUAAUGGUAACAUUUUACUGUUAUUUAUUGUGUUCACAAUAAACUGUAAUCAAACAUACUUAUUGAAAUAAAAAAUGCAAUUAGAUCCAUUCAUGUCUUUCAAUGAUUCCUUAAAAUUUGUAGCAUUUUAUGGAAAAUUCAGUUAUUUUCUGGAAAUUUCAAUGUCAGAUCUGUAAAGUCCAACAAGCUUUUUCAUAUCUCACUUAAUUUAAUUGUUCUUAUUUUACUAUUAUCCAUUCCUACACCACAUAUUGACAUUGAAAUCUUUUAGGGUAGGAUCAGGAAUGUAAUUGUGUUGACAGAUAAAAUGGCUUACAGAGAUAAGUUUUUACUUCUCUAAUGAGUUUUAUGCUUUGGACACUUUUUGUUAGAAGGGCCCUUCAAUAAUAAGUACUCCACAGG